AUUGAACGCUAGCGGGAUGCUUUACACAUGCAAGUCGAAUGGCAGCGCGGACUUCGGUCUGGCGGCGAGUGGCGAACGGGUGAGUAAUGUAUCGGAACGUGCCCAGUAGCGGGGGAUAACUACGCGAAAGCGUAGCUAAUACCGCAUACGCCCUACGGGGGAAAGCAGGGGAUCGUAAGACCUUGCACUAUUGGAGCGGCCGAUAUCGGAUUAGCUAGUUGGUGAGGUAACGGCUCACCAAGGCGACGAUCCGUAGCUGGUUUGAGAGGACGACCAGCCACACUGGGACUGAGACACGGCCCAGACUCCUACGGGAGGCAGCAGUGGGGAAUUUUGGACAAUGGGGGCAACCCUGAUCCAGCCAUCCCGCGUGUGCGAUGAAGGCCUUCGGGUUGUAAAGCACUUUUGGCAGGAAAGAAACGUCGCGGGCUAAUACCCCGUGGAACUGACGGUACCUGCAGAAUAAGCACCGGCUAACUACGUG
rnacentral:rRNA from 1 species